rnacentral:rRNA from 1 species
UACAGAGGGUGCGAGCGUUAAUCGGAAUUACUGGGCGUAAAGCGUGCGUAGACGGUUAUUUAAGUCGGGUGUGAAAGCCCCGGGCUCAACCUGGGAAUUGCAUUCGAGACUGAAUAGCUAGGGUACGGUAGAGGGAAGUGGAAUUUCGGGUGUAGCGGUGAAAUGCGUAGAUAUCCGAAGGAACAUCAGUGGCGAAAGCGACUUCCUGGACCAGAACUGACGAUCAGGCACGAAAGCGUGGGGAGCAAACAGG